CCUACGGGGGGCUGCAGUGGGGAAUAUUGGACAAUGGGGGCAACCCUGAUCCAGCCAUGCCGCGUGUGUGAAGAAGGCCCUCGGGUUGUAAAGCACUUUCAGUGAGGAAGAACGCGUGGUGGUUAAUACCCAUCAGGAAAGACAUCACUCACAGAAGAAGCACCGGCUAACUCCGUGCCAGCAGCCGCGGUAAUACGGAGGGUGCGAGCGUUAAUCGGAAUUACUGGGCGUAAAGCGCGCGUAGGUGGCUUGAUAAGCCGGUUGUGAAAGCCCCGGGCUCAACCUGGGAACGGCAUCCGGAACUGUCAAGCUAGAGUGCAGGAGAGGAAGGUAGAAUUCCCGGUGUAGCGGUGAAAUGCGUAGAGAUCGGGAGGAAUACCAGUGGCGAAGGCGGCCUUCUGGACUGACACUGACACUGAGGUGCGAAAGCGUGGGUAGCAAACAGGAUUAGAUACCCGGGUAGUC
rnacentral:rRNA from 1 species